rnacentral:rRNA from 1 species
ACUAACCAGGAUUCCCUUAGUAACGGCGAGUGAAGCGGGACAAGCUCAGACUGAAAAGCUUCGGCGUUGUAGUCUGGAGAAGUGAAGUCAGCAUUAAGUUUCGGAUAAAGUCUCUUGGAACAGAGCGCCGUGGAGGGUGAUAGCCCCGUUCAUGUCUGAAACGAAGUGUGUACGACUCGCUUUCUAAGAGUCGAGUUGUUUGGGAUUGCAGCUCUAAGUGGGUGGUAAAUUCCAUCUAAAGCUAAAUAUAAAUGGGAGACCGAUAGCGAACAAGUACCGUGAGGGAAAGAUGCAAAGAACUUUGAAAAGAGAGUUAAAUAGUACCUGAAAUUGCUGAAAUGGAACCGAUGGGAAGCAGUGUCGGCUGGGUGGUACUUGUACCAUUUAGCAAGUUAGGCUUCUUUAAUUAUGUGGGAAAAGCUUCUAAACCAGUUUGGGUUAGUUUUGCUGUCAUGUGAUUGAAGGACUCUGACGAAAUGCUUCUUAUCAACCCGUCUUGAAACACGGACCAAGGAGUCUAACAUGUGUGCGAGUGCUCGGGGUAAAACUCCCAGCGCGGAAUUAACGUAAAGGUGGAUUUAUUCACUGAGGUAGGAUCUGUAAAGUGCACUAUCGACCGACCAUGAUCCUUCGGGAGAAAGGUUUGAGUGUGAGCAUACAUGUUGGGACCCGAAAGAUGGUGAACUAUGCCUGAGUAGGGCGAAGCCAGGGGAAACUCUGGUGGAGGCCCGCAGCGAUUCUAACGUGCAAAUUGAUCGUCGAAUCUUGGGUAUAGGGGCGAAAGACUAAUCGAACCAUCUAGUAGCUGGUUCCUCCCGAAAUUUCCCUUAGGAUAGCUGCAACCGAACAGUUUUAUCAGGUAAAGCGAAUGAUUAGAGGCCUCAGGGGUGGAACGUCCUUGACCUAUUCUCAAACUUUAAAUGGGUAAGAGCCCUGGGUUGCUUAAUUGAACCCGGCGGUCGAAUGACGGUUGCUAGUGGGCCAAUCUGGGUAAGCUAGAUUGGCGAUGCGGGAUGAACCGAACGUCUAGUUAAAGUGCCAAAGUAUCCGCUAACCUAGAUCCCACAAAAGGUGUUGGUUCAUUAAGACAGCAGGACGGUGGCCAUGGAAGUCGGAACCCG